rnacentral:rRNA from 1 species
CCCUUAGAUGUUCUGGGCCGCACGCGCGCUACACUGACGAAUGCAACGAGCUUAUAACCUUGGCCGAAAGGUCUGGGUAAUCUCCAAAUUUCGUCGUGAUGGGGAUAGAUUAUUGCAAUUAUUAAUCUUCAACGAGGAAUUCCCAGUAAGCGCAAGUCAUAAGCUUGCGUUGAUUACGUCCCUGCCCUUUGUACACACCGCCCGUCGCUACUACCGAUUGAACGUUUUAGUGAGGUAUUUGGACUGGACCUUCGGAGGUUCGCGCCUCCGUUGCUGUUCGGGAAGACUCCCAAACUUGAGCGUUUAGAGGAAGUAAAAGUCGUAACA